CAGAAUCUAAUAAACGAAGGGAAAAAGGUUAGCAUAAUACGUGAAAGGAGAAUGGUAUAUAUACAGCUGGUCUCCGGUUCUAAACCGCACAAAAGACUGAUGGCAGCUCUCAUCACCGACACGAGAAAAACGAUCAAAGUAAAGUAAGAAGCAAACAUCUUACCAGCAUCUUCGUCGGCUUCGUCUAAAUCAGAUCCAAUACCUUCUUCAUCCCACCAUUCUUUCUUCUUCUUGGUCUGUUCGCGUACGAUAACGCAACGACGCUUCGUCCUUGGUACCAGGCCACUCUCGAUGUCCUCUGAACUGAUCAUUUUUUCCUGCUUUUCAAGUUCUUCUGCAACCCUCUUUUCUAAUUCUUCUUGUUCCUAGGAAAAUACCAUUAAAAUCAUUAGUCAACAGCAUAGAAUAUUACACCUGUAUAAAGAGGCUUUGCACCAUCGCGUGAUGGUAGCUAUGACGUCAUUUAAGAUCUGAUUCUUUCUUAUGAUUGACAUGAGGAUGAAUUACGUUUCCAGGGGGAAAAAGACUAUUGAUGACAGCCAUAACAGGAGGCACAACAAUAGUUUUUUCCCCCGGGAAAAUGAAAUCAUGUAAAUCAUGAGAAAGAAUCAGUACUUAAAAUGUCAUGGCUGUCAUCACGUGAAGCUGCAAAGCCUUUAUAGUCCCUUCUCUAAAGUAACAGAAAUACCAGUCUAUCGAGCUAACUAAAGCUGUUAUAUGUAAAAAGCGACUUCCGCCUUCAAUAUUCGAUCGAGGAGUCGUACUGACUAUUACUACACCAUAGGACUUAUUCUGAAAGACCCUGAUUGAUUGAAGUAUAGGAAAGAUUCUUCAAAUCGUGAUGACUUUUUUAUUGCGGUCCGUUUGAGCUUGAGAACCCGAUAUUACAUCACGAUUUUAAAUUGCUGUUCAAGCUGCUCAAUCUAUGUUACUGCUCAAUGGCAACUUUGUGGCCGGUAGGUCACCACGUACAGUGACAAACGUGCGUGCUCCAAUGAUGAACACUUUGUGGAGCAGAAUAUAAACUACGGUUAAAGGACCUUUUGAGUGUUUUGAAGAGAUCUAGGCACAUCCCUGAUAUGACUGGAUAAACAGUUUGAUAUGUGCGUGACCACGCCUCCGUGACCGAAAGAUUUAUUGCGUGACCGGCUAAAACCGAGUAGAAUUUUAUGGAAGAUUCAUAGUAGCUUUACUGGCUUUACUGACGAAAGGUAAUUAGCGCCUUCUCUUCGAAAAAGAUACAUUUUUGUGAGAAAACGAUAAAUUUUUGCUCUUGUGGGAAAUAAGAGCAUGGUUCGUUUUAAAUCAAUUGAAUAAUCCCAAAAAUCAGAUUAAGUACAAUGACGAUCGCCUGCCUUUGAACUUGUCAUUGUUUUCUCAAACCCUUACUGUCGUAGCAACAGCUGUCUAUAAUCAUACAAAACCCAACAGGACGGGGGAAAAACAAUAUUUGAUUUUACAUGUUUUUUUAAAAAAUAUAUAGACUUUUGGACAGAACACCAACUGGGUUCGUUUACUGACGAGGAAAGACGACAAUGAGAGGAUAUUAAUUAAACAAACGUGCCGGGGAUUAUGAGACAAAUAGGUACAGGACACCAACUAACAAAACACGACGCUGCAGUCUUGAUCUCUUGUGACGUUACUAAUACAAAGACCGGAAAGGGAUGAGAAUCUCUGCGUGAUGUACAGGAAACGCGUGAAGAGGAGAAUGGACAACACACAAAACAGACUUCCGAUUAAACACGGUCCAACGGGAUUAGAAGUUUGUUUUGAAACGCCAGGAUACUUCAAUGGCAAUUGUCAGUUGGAAUUUGUUUUUUUCUUCUGUUUUUGCCUGGCUUAAAUGCUCCGCACCCUAUUACAAUCUAACAAUCUAAUUGGAUUUAUCACUCCAUGGUGGACGGAAAGUCUAACAGGUUUUGCGACCCACUUGAUAAGGGCUAACCAUAGGUCGAAUUAGAAUUUAGAAGUUGAUUUCGUCAAUAAAUGAAGAAAUGAAGUCUGCAGGUGGAAAGUAA
rnacentral:lncRNA from 1 species